rnacentral:lncRNA from 1 species
GGUUGGCAAGCUAUUUGGAGUGCUGACACUUUUGAAAGUCAAAUUUCUUCAUCAAUGGAUCCUAAGGAAAAAAGAAACAUCAUUGCUUAACUACAGAAGCUCAUGAUAACAAUACCAAACACGCUAUAGCUGAAAAAAACGCACUUCUGUUGCAAUGCCGCAUCAGAAAAGAGAGGCAACAACUAAUCGUCUUAUUGCAAAUACAAAUUGGGUCAAUCCUGUCGAGUCAACAUCUGCAACUCAGGGUAACGUUAUUACUGGAGACUCUUGUUCUACUUCAAAAACAGGUUAGACUAUCAAGUUUAUUAUUUGCUUUUUCCUUAUAUAUGUGCCUUGUGUGUGAGUGAGUACACGCAGUGAUUACAUGAUAUCCAUGUUUACAAACUAUCUACCAUUUGUCACUGAGCGUGAACUUUUUAAGCCAACAGAUGUGCUUUGCAAGAGGAAAAAUGCGGUUCAUCCAAUUCCUAUUUUUGAAAAGGGUAAAACGUGCACACAGUGAUUACAUGAUCUCCGUGUUUACAAAAUAUCUACCAUUGUAGUUGUCACUGAGCGUGAGCUUUUUAAGCCAACAGACAUAGAUUUGGUAGUGUUAGGUACUAUCGUUUGGCAUGGCUUUUCUAAGAUUUUAACUAAAGCAGUUCACUACUGUGCUAGGAGGUGUCAAGCAUAUCAUGCUUCUUGAUUCUCCAUCAUACGCUCUGUUGAAUCAAAAUUUGUUAUUUUAAAUUUUUUACUGCAAAGAUCUCUAUAAGCUCAUAUAAUUAAAGGUAAAUCCUUAUGCCAGAGUUAAAAUAUGCAUCUUCAAAUGUAUUCAGCUAGACACGAGUUCUUCGGCUUCAAGUUGGAUCAACCGAUCAUUAGUUUGUAUAUAAAGCAUAUGUACCGCGAGGAAUCAAGAGAUCUUUGCCGGUGCUGACUUGGAUCUCGGGUGACGGAAUAAGGCGGCUAUUAUCUCAGUAUCAAGGUAUGUAUUUUGUUUGCAUCAUCAUUCCUGCUCAUUCAAAAUUUUCAUAUUUAU